AGCGAACGCUGGCGGCAGGCCUAACACAUGAAAGUCGAACGGACCCUUCGGGGCUAGUGGCGGACGGGUGAGUAACACGUGGGAACGUGCCUUUAGGUUCGGAAUAGAUCCCGGAAACGGAUGGUAAUGACGAAUGUGACCUUCGGGGGAAAGAUUUAUCGCCUUUAGAGAGGCCCGCGUCUGAUUAGCUAGUUGGGGAGGUAAUGGCUCACCAAGGCGACGAUCAGUAGCUGGUCUGAGAGGAUGACCAGCCACACUGGGACUGAGACACGGCCCAGACUCCUACGGGAGGCAGCAGUGGGGAAUCUUGCGCAAUGGGCGAAAGCCUGACGCAGCCAUGCCGCGUGAAUGAUGAAGUUCUUAGGAUUGUAAAAUUCUUUCACCUGGGACGAUAAUGACGGUACCCGGAGAAGAAGCCCCGGCUAACUUCGUGCCAGCAGCCGCCGUAA
rnacentral:rRNA from 1 species